rnacentral:rRNA from 1 species
AUACGUAGGUGACAAGCGUUAUCCGGAUUUACUGGGCGUAAAGGGCGUGUAGGCGGUCUUGCAAGUCAGAAGUGAAAUUCCUGAGCUCAACUCGGGCGCUGCUUCUGAAACUGCAGGACUUGAGUGCUGGAGGGGAUAGCGGAAUUCCUAGUGGAGCGGUAAAAUGCGCAGAUAUUAGGAAGAACACCGGUGGCGAAGGCGGCUAUCUGGACAGUAACUGACGCUGAGGCGCGAAAGUGUGGGGAGCAAACAGGAUUAGAUACCCUGGUAGUCCACACUGUAAACGAUGAAUGCUAGGUGUAGGGGGUAUCGACCCCUUCUGUGCCGCAGUCAACACAAUAAGUAUUCCGCCUGGGGAGUACGGCCGCAAGGCUAAAACUCAAAUGAAUUGACGGAG